CCGGUGUCGACUUACUAGCUGCAAGCCUCUGCCUGCCUUCCUGCGCGCCGUUCCCCGCUAGUCGCUGCUGCUGGCGCGCACUCGCCGGGUUUUUCCUCCCACGGCCUCGAGAUGGUGGUGAAUGUGGCACGGAGGAGCCGGGCCUUCCAACCCGGUGGGCCCGAGCUCCGAAAGGCCCCCUCGGCAGUGAGAGGGGCGGGAGCCCGCGGGGGCCGCGCCCUUCUCUCGCUUCGGACUGCGCAACGCUGCGCUCUGGGCUGACAGGCGGAUAAAACGGUCCCAUCAAGACUGAGAAAAAGCACACCAGCUAUUGGCACAGCGUGGGCAGUGGGGCCUACAGGAUGACUGACUUAGUCUACAGAGAUCCCGGCGUACUUAAGCAGAUGAAGACUCUUAAGAUGACAGAAGGUGAUUUUUCUGGUGAUCGAGGACUUCCGGGGUAAUGACAGUGAUGAAAUGCAGGGGACCUGGUAGGUUUCUUUUGGAGACUAACUGGGGGCUGCCUGGUGGGACAGAACAGCAUGUUUCCAAGGGCUGUGGCUGGUCAUAGCCAUGGGAUCUCCAACUGCAUGCAAGAGCAACCUGGAAAGACUUUGACAGCGCAGGUUGCCCCCAAGUUUCCUGGCAGUGUGUGAUACUGAGGAGGUGAGCUUGUUUCUGGAGCUGUGCUUUAAGAUUCAUGUUACAUGUAAAGCUGUCCUCAUUUGUGACUAUGGACCUAUGGAGUUGGGACAAUCUCUAUGGGAAGCAGAAGGCAAGGACCCCGGUCAUUUUAGGUAGAAACAACAGCAUGCUAAUGCAAAAAAUUAUGCAGUGUGCUACUGAACUUCAGAGGUGAUCAAUAAAAGAAGAAUAAAAAGACUAA
rnacentral:lncRNA from 1 species